rnacentral:rRNA from 1 species
GUGGGGAAUAUUGGACAAUGGGGGGAACCCUGAUCCAGCCAUGCCGCGUGUGUGAAGAAGGCCUUUUGGUUGUAAAGCACUUUAAGCGAGGAGGAGGCUACCGAGAUUAAUACUCUUGGAUAGUGGACGUUACUCGCAGAAUAAGCACCGGCUAACUCUGUGCCAGCAGCCGCGGUAAUACAGAGGGUGCGAGCGUUAAUCGGAUUUACUGGGCGUCAAGCGUGCGUAGGCGGCUUUUUAAGUCGGAUGUGAAAUCCCUGAGCUUAACUUAGGAAUUGCAUUCGAUACUGGAAAGCUAGAGUAUGAGAGAGGAAGGUAGAAUUCCAGGUGUAGCGGUGAAAUGCGUAGAGAUCUGGAGGAAUACCGAUGGCGAAGGCAGCCAUCUGGCCUAAUACUGACGCUGAGGUACGAAAGCAUGGGGAGCAAACAGGAUUAGAUACCCCGGUAGUCC